rnacentral:rRNA from 1 species
UGGGGAAUAUUGCACAAUGGGGGAAACCCUGAUGCAGCGACGCCGCGUGAGUGAAGAAGUAUUUCGGUAUGUAAAGCUCUAUCAGCAGGGAAGAAAAUGACGGUACCUGACUAAGAAGCCCCGGCUAACUACGUGCCAGCAGCCGCGGUAAUACGUAGGGGGCAAGCGUUAUCCGGAAUUACUGGGUGUAAAGGGUGCGUAGGUGGUAUGGCAAGUCAGAAGUGAAAACCCAGGGCUUAACUCUGGGACUGCUUUUGAAACUGUCAGACUAGAGUGCAGGAGAGGUAAGCGGAAUUCCUAGUGUAGCGGUGAAAUGCGUAGAUAUUAGGAGGAACAUCAGUGGCGAAGGCGGCUUACUGGACUGAAACUGACACUGAGGCACGAAAGCGUGGGGAGCAAACAGG